GGUUCAAUGGUCUAGCGGUUAUGAUUUCUGUCUCACAAUUGAUAUAUAUUCAAUGGUCACAGAAGGUCUCCAGUUCGAUCCUGGAUUGAACCA